UUAGGUCCCUGUACUUCAAAACUUUGAUGUCUUCUUCAGGAACAGAAAUUGAGUGUGACGUUUUGAGAUAAUCGAUUAAAGAGCGCUUGAGCUUCCACUCGUCGAUUAGGGAUACGGAUUUGUCUGCGCGGUGAAUUGUUAGGUUGAGUCUGACUCGGGGGAUGAGGCAGAGACCGGAUUCGAGUUCGAAUGGUUCGGUCGGGAGCAGAGUUUUGAGCGGUUUGCGGUGGCUCAUGGCGGAGCGCAGUCACGGCACGGCGGCUGGGAAUUUUUAAGGGCAGUUCAGAUUAAAGCUGCGGAAGAGUAAAAUAUCUUCGUCCUGAAAUAGUAUGCACGAAAGAGUUCGUCACAAUUACAA
rnacentral:lncRNA from 1 species